rnacentral:rRNA from 1 species
GACGAACGCUGGCGGCGUGCUUAACACAUGCAAGUCGAACGCUGAAGCCCAGCUUGCUGGGUGGAUGAGUGGCGAACGGGUGAGUAACACGUGAGUAACCUGCCCCCUUCUUUGGGAUAACGCCCGGAAACGGGUGCUAAUACUGGAUAUUCACUGGCCUUCGCAUGGGGGUUGGUGGAAAGGUUUUUUCUGGUGGGGGAUUGGCUCGCGGCCUAUCAGCUUGUUGGUGGGGUGAUGGCCUACCAAGGUUUUGACGGGGAGCCGGCCUGAGAGGGUGACCGGUCACAUUGUUGACUGAAAUACGGCCCAAACUCCUACGGUAGGCAUUUUGGGGAAUAUUGCACAAUGGGUGAUAGCUUGUUGCUGCUACGCCGCGGGAGGUUGUCGGCCUUGUGUUGUAAACUUUUUUCGCUAUGUUCAUACUGCAGUUUUUGGUGGUGGUGUUGGUGGUGGUAACAAAGUGUUGGUACCUGUGUUUUUUUUGUUGUGUUUGUUUUUUGUGUGUUAUCUUGUCCAAAUUGUUUGUUGUGUUUGUUUGUGA